ACUCCUACGGGAGGCAGCAGUGGGGAAUAUUGCACAAUGGGCGCAAGCCUGAUGCAGCCAUGCCGCGUGUAUGAAGAAGGCCUUCGGGUUGUAAAGUACUUUCAGCAGUGAGGAAGGUGGAGUCGUUAAUAGCGGCCUCAUUUGACGUUAGCUGCAGAAGAAGCACCGGCUAACUCCGUGCCAGCAGCCGCGGUAAUACGGAGGGUGCGAGCGUUAAUCGGAAUUACUGGGCGUAAAGCGCAUGCAGGCGGCCUGUUAAGUCAGAUGUGAAAGCCCGGGGCUUAACCUCGGAAUUGCAUUUGAAACUGGCAGGCUAGAGUCUUGUAGAGGGGGGUAGAAUUUCAGGUGUAGCGGUGAAAUGCGUAGAGAUCUGAAGGAAUACCAGUGGCGAAGGCGGCCCCCUGGACAAAGACUGACGCUCAGAUGCGAAAGCGUGGGGAGCAAACAGGAUUAGAUACCCUGGUA
rnacentral:rRNA from 1 species